GGCAAAAAUAUUAUUAUUUUAUAUGUUGCUGACGUGACAUAAUUUUAACAAUUGAAAAAUCUAUACUUUUUAACUUUUGUCAAUUAUAGCUAAUUCUAUAAGUUCGUUUCAUUUAUAACCAAUUGACUAAUUUUGAUCUACAUUGGUCAAAAAUUAAUUUUUUAUUACCUAAUACAAUUGCAAAAAUAAAUAUUUAUGUUACUUAGUAUAAUAAAA
rnacentral:misc_RNA from 1 species